UACGAAGGGGGCUAGCGUUGCUCGGAAUCACUGGGCGUAAAGCGCACGUAGGCGGAUUGUUAAGUCAGGGGUGAAAUCCUGGAGCUCAACUCCGAGCCUGCGUUCGAUACUGGACGGCUAGAGUCUGGUAGGGGGAUCUGGAAUUCCUGGUGUAGCGGUGGAAUGCGCAGAUAUCAGGAGGAACACCGGUGGCGAAGGCGGGAUCUUGGGCCAGUACUGACGCUGAGGAGCGAAAGCGUGGGGAGCAAACAGG
rnacentral:rRNA from 1 species